AAACCCAUUACUCUAACCUACCCAAACCCCUUACCCUUUAAUAAAACCUAGAUAUUUUAGGAGGGAAGAUCAGAUUUUUUAGACCUAGACAACUCUAAAAACAAAAAAAAGGCGAGCCCAAAACGGACCAAAAAUAGCUACACCCUGAGAACGGUAGCUUUUGGGCAGAAGGGAGCUUCCAUUUUUUCAGAGAAAGAAAAGGUUGAUCCUUCGAUUUCUCCAUUUUUGAAUAUCACAAACGACCAAGAAAACAAAUACCACAUCCCAUCGGAAAAUCUUGAACCUAUUGCCUACCCAGAUAGCAAAAUCCAGCUUGGAUUCUUGGUUUGGUCUUUGUUGGUGUUGAAUGUUUUCGUUGCUCGAUUGAGUUGAUUGCUGCUAUUCAAAGUUUGGCCGGGUUUCUUCAUUUUCUCUUAGCCUUUAUUUGGCAAGUUUUUCUUUUAGAUUACCCCAUGUGUUUAGGUAUGUUGUUGAAACUUAACUUUAAUUUCAGAUAUAUUCCAAUAUGAAAACAUGGCCGUUAUCUGUUUACACAAUUGUGCAUAGCUUACAUAUAUAAAAUCCCUUUCCUCUACAACACCCACAAAACUUCCCGAACUUUUCCUUGUUAAUUAAGGAUUUACGGCGAAGGAUUGAAGUGGUGAGUGUAGAGAUAGUGAUGGAUCCACCAAUAAGGACAAUGGAGCCUUUUGCUAACGUGCGCAGGAGUGGUGGAAUCAUUUGAAAUGCGUCCUUUGUUUCUCACUUCUUUGUAUAAUAUCUCGUUUAUUGUAUCUUUGUUGUUGUUUGUUGACUUUAAUUUAUUUUAGCCUAAAACAAAAUAUUUAUUGAAUUUACCAAAAUUAUGAUUAUGGAUUGUGCCUGACGCUAUGAAAUGCAGACAAGUCAGUCAAAUCGUUUCUAAAUCCUUGUUUAGCGUCACAUGCUCCAAAAUCUCUUUUGGUAUUGUGUUAAUUUUUAUCUUUCGUUGUUUUUUUUUGAGUGUUGAUUUUGACCUUUUUUAUACUAAAAACUUAGGGACAUGCUAUUUCUUUGAUGUGAAAAGUUUGAGUUGUUUAUCUUGAUUUGUUACGUCUAUGCGUUUAUGCUACAUAUAAAUGAUGUAUCACUAUAGUGCAUACUUUCUUUAUUUUUAGUGAUUUUAGAAAAAUGAACAACUUUUGAACAUUCUUAGUUUGCUUUAGGCACGCUUAUAAUAAAAUCAUCAUGGCUACGAGUACGGUUCCCGUGACGUAGCUGUGAUACCUAAUUUCCAAAUUCGGGGUACAUUUAUGUGACCCGACCGUAACUUCUAAUAACUUUAAUAAAUUAAACACGUUGUGGAUCAUGGGUACGAUUUCCAUGAUACGAUUCACAAUGCGUAUCAAACAAAUAAGUGUAUGACAAUCGUAACUUGUUCCAGAAUAAUUCCAUAAAUAAUUAAAAGCGGUUAUAAAGUUUAGAAAAUGCACAAUAGGUUUAUGGCAUGUAGUAAAUCAGAUAAUUAGGCCAAUUUUUAAUAGUUUAAGCGACCGUGCUCGAACCACGGAAUCCAGGAAUUCCUAACACCUUUUCCCGGGUUAACCGAAUUCCUUACUUAGAAUUUCUGGUUCGCACACUUUUUUAAAAUAAAGUCGAAACUUCCUCGAUUUGGGAUUUAAAAAUAAAUCGCUGACUUGGGACACCAAUUGAACUAUUCCAAGUGGCGACUCUGAAAGAAUUAAUUAAAUAAUCUCAUUUCGAUUAAUGUCACUUAAAUUGAAAAAACUCCCUAUAUACUGUAGGUUUAUUCAACAACUCUUGUGAAAUUUUUAAUUCAUUGGCCGAAAAUUCAAAUAUUUGGAAGACUGAAAUUUAUAUCUCCUGAGUUGUAUGUUUCUAUUGGAACAUCUGUAUUUUGUUUUGGGGCCUUUUUGCACUUAAGUAUUGUCAAAUGAAAAAAUGAAAGCAUAAAAAUAAAAAACAGUGCAAAAUUCAAAAAAUAGGGCAGAAAAAUAAAUAGACAAAAACUUAAGUUAAAUAUUUUUAUUAAAUAACUCUCCUUACAACAGCAUAUAUUUUUUCCCAUUAACUAAAGAAAAAAAUAAACUGCAGGGAGAGAAGGAUCACUGGGAGGGGAAUUUCCUGGGCUAACAUAGUGGUGAAUAUUUGCACCAGCCCUAUGAAAGAGAAUCUGCAACAUGCAUGCGAUACGACGAAUGUUACUUUCUUGCCUCACCCUGUCUUCUUGGAUCUCUCAGAUGAGCCUAUCCAAUGAUUCCUUGUUAAAAAUGGUGUCCAUGCUUGGCCUUGGCAUCAUGGGCAUUUCUCUGUUAGUGAUUGGGUUAUUUGGAAGAAGGAUGGAUAAAUAUUUCCAUCAGAUCCAGUGUAUUUAUAGGUAGAAUUUGAUACUAAAUAACGCCUUUCUAUAUGACUUCUUAUAAAUGACGUGACUGUUGAGAGUUUUGACAAACAAAUUGAUGCUUUGAAUUGUCAUAUUCGAUGGAUUUCAAUUAAUUAGACAAGUCUUUUUCAUAUUGGCUGCCAGCGCUUAUUAACAUUAGACAUUAAAUUAACUACCUAAACUAGUGGUUGUCAAUAGACUAUCUAAAGCAGCGAAACAAGUCUUAGAUAUCGAUGGGGGUUGACAAUAAAAUAUUGGUUGAUUACAUGUGGUUGAUUCUAAAAUAGUAGUCUAAAACAGUAGUCUACAAUAGAAGGUCACAUGACUCCUUCUUAAAAUAAAAGGGUUGAUUAUAGAUCAUAGGUCUAAAAUAGACAAUGCGAGUGGUUAGCCAUAAAAUAGUAGUCUAUGAGACAACUUGGUCACGUGACUCCUUCUUAAAAUAAGGAAUGGUUGACUCUAGAUCAUCGGUCUGCAAAUAGACAAUGCUGGUGGUUGACCAUAAAACAAUGGUCAAUAAUGUACAAUGCAACAGUUGAUAGUAGAAACAACAAGUGAUUACAAACUACAAUUCUAAAUUUUUAAAAUAGUUAAUUAUUUUUAUUACAGCACCA
rnacentral:lncRNA from 1 species